rnacentral:rRNA from 1 species
UACGUAGGGGGCAAGCGUUGUCCGGAAUCAUUGGGCGUAAAGCGCGUGUAGGCGGCUGGGCAAGUCCGCUCUGAAAGCCCGAGGCUCAACCUCGGGAGGCGAGUGGAUACUGCUCAGCUCGAGUCCGGAAGAGGAGUGUGGAAUUCCUGGUGUAGCGGUGAAAUGCGCAGAUAUCAGGAAGAACACCCGUGGCGAAGGCGGCUCUCUGGGACGGUACUGACGCUGAGACGCGAAAGCGUGGGGAGCGAACAGG